UUGUCUUUUAAAUAAAGACCAGUAUGAAUGGCAAGACGAAAGUUCAACUGUCUCCCUAAAUUAAUCAGUGAAAUUGAUCUUUCCGUGCAGAAGCGGAAAUACAACUAUAAGACGAGAAGACCCUAUGGAGCUUUAAAUAUAUAAUCAAUUGUAAAACAUAAAAUCCGAAAGACUAAAUAUAAAAUAAGACAAUAUGAUUAAAAUUUUAGGUUGGGGCGACCACGGAGAAAAACAAAACCUCCGAGAUGAAGAGAAUAUCUUAACUCAAGAACUACAGUUCUAAAAAAUAAAAUAUUUAACAUAAUUGAUCCAAUACUUUGAUCAACGGACCAAGUUACCCUAGGGAUAACAGCGCAAUCCUCUCCAAGAGUCCUUAUCGACGAGUGGGUUUACGACCUCGAUGUUGGAUCAGGACACCCCAAUGGUGCAGCCGCUAUUAAAGGUUCGUUUGUUCAACGAUUAAAGU
rnacentral:rRNA from 1 species